AAUGAAUACAGUUUUAAGUUGUUUAUGCCAUAUGUUUGAUCGUCCGUUUUAUUUAAAAAAAAUAUGAUUAGUAUUUUUUAUUGUUAUUAGAUGAUAAAAUAUAAAUAUUACUUUAUAUGUGACUAUUUUUUAAAUUUUUUUUAUAAAUAUUUCAAAUAAGACGGACGGUUAAAUGUUGACAUAGAAAUCCACGACUAGACUUAAA
rfam:Oryza glaberrima chromosome 8 Oglab08_0041_4, whole genome shotgun sequence.